rnacentral:rRNA from 1 species
GACGAACGCUGGCGGCGUGCCUAAUACAUGCAAGUCGAACGCUUCUUUCCUCCCGAGUGCUUGCACUCAAUUGGAAAGAGGAGUGGCGGACGGGUGAGUAACACGUGGGUAACCUACCCAUCAGGGGGGGAUAACACUUGGAAACAGGUGCUAAUACCGCAUAACAGUUUAUGCCGCAUGGCAUAAGAGUGAAAGGCGCUUUCGGGUGUCGCUGACGGAUGGACCCGCGGUGCAUUAGCUAGUUGGUGAGGUAACGGCUCACCAAGGCCACGAUGCAUAGCCGACCUGAGAGGGUGAUCGGCCACACUGGGACUGAGACACGGCCCAGACUCCUACGGGAGGCAGCAGUAGGGAAUCUUCGGCAAUGGACGAAAGUCUGACCGAGCAACGCCGCGUGAGUGAAGAAGGUUUUCGGAUCGUAAAACUCUGUUGUUAGAGAAGAACAAGGACGUUAGUAA